UGAGCAAGGACGACGUCGUUCACAGCUGCUCUUGCCUCUAACCAUAGUAGUUUUCAGUUUUCACAUCCAAUUAAAAGUAUGCAACUUUUUUCUCCGUGAAAGAGAAAAGUGAAUGACUAACAGUAGAUCUAAAUGCAAGAGUGAAGAUCAACAACUUCUUUCCCAUGGCAGAUCCGCCUUUAGUUUACCGGUGACAAGGAUGCUAGCAUCUCCUUCCACCACUUUGCUCGACAUAGGGAGGGUGAAAGCUUACUGCGGUGCCUCACACGGUGUGGGUGGCUCAUAAUAGCGGCGGUAAAGGAGCGUCUCGGUGGCUCGCGAACAACGAUGAAGGCUAAGUUUCGGUGGUUUGCGGCGGCAUUCACCAUAGAACCAACACAGAUCUGAGUCACCCGCUCCAAUCCGCCCGAGCCACCCGCUAACCCGUACCACCCGGACCCGACACACCCGAAGCCAACAUCGGUCGGAGUCGGCCUUGAAUAUGCUUGAUUCAAAUCCGCCCGAACCCGACAUUUUUCACCCGAACCGCCCGAACCCGCCCGCUGCUCAGCCCUAGUUGAUCUAAGUAAAGAUAGCCAGGAAAGCUCUAUUGUUUUGGCUCCAGUGAAAGAAUUGAGGAUGCACUACUCAUCUAUUUCAAAGACCAGUAAGGGAAAGCCUGAAGUCUUAUACAAAUGGAAGGAUAUAAUUUCUGCUAAGUCUUCUACUGGAGUUAAUCCUGUUUGUUCUGAAAUCAAUGUUAAUGCAAGCCCUCAUGAAAGCAAUAUGUCUGCAUGCCCAAACAAAGAAACUCUUGCUGUUGAAGUCUUAACUUCAUCUGUUGUUGAUGUAGCUGGCCUCUCUUCUUCCCAAAUUAAUGGAUCAUCUGUUCCCUAGAAGGGCGAUAUGGAUAAGAAGGGUUCUAAUAAGGAUGUUAAAGUUAAUUAUAAAAAGAAGUCAGUUGCUAAAAAGAAUGUAUCUUCUGCUAAGAAUGGAUCUUCUGCUUCAGAAAUCAAUGAGCAAUCCCCAGAUAAGGGUGAUGAAGUUGAUGCAUUUGAAUUUCAGGAGAAACUCAAGCAAUGUUAUAUGCUUCAACGUUCUAUCAUCUCAAAAAGUAAAGCUUCAGAAGUUACAAAACAGUUUGGGAAGCAAACUGACUCUCACUCAAGAUUCAAGUCUCUGACCGUCCAAUGUCACAUCAUCCGUUAGAUUCAUUGAAGACAAAUUUUGAGCGCCAAAAGUUAAAGUUCAAUUGUAACCAGUUGCCCAAAAUUCAAAUCAAAAGGCAACCAAUUGACUUAUAUUCAAAUCAGAUCACGUGAAGACUAGUUUACUUCAGCUAAAGGCACGCUGACCAACAAGGGAAAAGUACAAGCCGUUAACAUCAUAUUUCCCAAUUGUCUCAUAUCUGAAAAGUAGCCCAAGUCUAUCACCACCUACUAGCUGAGAAACAUCAUCUUUACGGCUAAAGGAUAGACUUACUUCUGAGCUCGCAUUAAAUGGAGCUACCAACCAAAGCCAUUUGCAUCAACGGUUUGAUCUCAUUUCACAACAGCUAGGGCAACGGUUGGAUUUUGUCUCAUAACGGCUAAAACACUAGCAAGCAAGUAUAUAAGGCACUCUUGAAGAUUGAAGACCAAGAGAAUUAAUUCCGAAAAGAACAAGAACUCAAGCAUUUAUUCAAAUCUUCUCAAAAGCAUUCAAAGCUCAAGCAGAAAUUCCUAAGAGUCAAACACAAGCCUUUACUUCUGCAAGUGAAAGAGAGAACCUCGUACCUUAAAAGAGUCAAAUCUUUUUAUUCUCUUCUCACUUAGUGAUGUAUGAGCUUUUUAGGAUAUUUUUAGUAUUUUAGUAAUUUUAUUUAUUUGUGGUUGGAUCUUUUAAUUUGUAUAUUUUAUUAACUUUUGAUUAGGAUCUUUUUAUUUUCAUAUUAGGAUCUUUUCAUUUUCAGAAUAGGAUCGUUUAAUUUUAGAAUAGAAUAUUUUUUGUUUCAUUAGGAUUUUCCUAUUUCUCUAUUUAAGCAGUUGUAAGGCAUGAGCCAUAGUAAGUUUUUGAUAAUAAAAUUCAAGAGAUUUCUCUCAAA